rnacentral:lncRNA from 1 species
GCAUGAAGAUAAUGGCGCCAGAGGAGAUGGCUGCCGUUUUACGAUCUCCUAACCAAUUGUGCUAUUGUGUGUGUUUUUUCGCGUUAUUUGUAACUUAUUUUGUACAUAAUGUUUCUGCCACCGUGUGUUAUGACCGAAAAGAGUUUAUGGAUAUCAGGACAGUGAUUACUCACCCCGUACUGGAGGAAUACUUUUUCUUCAACGAGUCGGAUGGGAAGGAUUUACUUCAGACGCCUGACAAGGCCCUCAUCCCCAUCAUUCGCACGAGAAAGAGACAGAGAUAUCGGGGAUGAAGAUCGGGGUGCCUUGAAAGGAUUAGACACCGAGAGAGUAAUCUCCCUUUACUAUUGGUCCUAUUAGCCAACGUACAAUCAAUUGAAAAUAAAAUAGACAAACAACGAUCACGUAUAUCCUAUCAAUGGGACAUUAAAAACUGUAAUAUCUUAUGUUUCACCGAGUCCUGGCUGAACAACGACAUGAAUAACAUACAGCUAGAGGGUUUUACGCUUUUUUGGCAGGAUAGAACAGCGGCCUCUGGUAAGACAAGGGGUGUUGGUCUAUGUAUAUUUGUAAACAACAGCUGGUGCACAAAAUCUAAGGAAGUCUCAAGGUUUUGUUAUCUCAUGAUAAGCUGUAGACCACACUAUUUACCAAGAGAGUUUUCAUCUAUAUUCUUCGUAGCUGUCUAUUUACCACCACAAACCGAUGCUGGUACUAAGACCAUACUCAACGAGCAAACAGGAAAACGCUCAUCCAGAGGCGGCGCUCCUAGUGGCCGGGGAGUUUAAUGCAGGGAAAUUGAAAUCCGUUUUACCUCAUUUCUAUCAGCAUGUUAAAUGUGCAACCAAAGGGAAAAGAAACUGUAGACCAACUUUACUCCACACACAGAGACGCGUACAAAGCUCUCCCUCGCCCUCCAUUUGGCAAAUCUGACCAUAAUUCUAUCCUCCUGAUUCCUGCUUACAAGCAAAAACUAAAGCAGGAAGCACCAGUGACUCGAUCAAUAAGAAAGAGGUCAGAUGAAGCAGAUGCGCAGCUACAGGACAGUUUUGCUAUCACAGAGUGGAACAUGUUCCGGGAUUCUUCCGAUGGCAUUGAGGAGUACACCACAUCGGUCACUGGCUUCAUCAAUAAGUGAUUCGAUGACGUUGACCCCACAGUGACCGUAGGUACAUACCCCAACCAGAAGCCAUGGAUUACAGGCAAUAUCGAAGAACCAUCAAGCAGGCAAAGCGUCAAUACAGGACUAAGAUUGAAUCUUACUACACCGGCUCCGACGCUCGUCGGAUGUUGCAGGGCUUGCAAACUAUUACAGACUACAAAGGGAAGCACAGCCACGAGCUGCCCAGUGACACGAGCCUACCAGACUAGCUAAAUUACUUCUAUGCUCGCUUCGAGGCAAGUAACACUAAAACAUGCAUGAGAGCAUCAGCUCUUCCGGACGACUGUGUGAUCACUCUCUCCGUAGCCGAUGUGAGUAAAACCUUUACACAGGUCAACAUCCACAAGGCCGCAGGGCCAGACGGAUUACCAGGACGUGUGCUCCGAGGACGCGCUGACCAACUGGCAAGUGUCUUCACUGACAUUUUCAACCUGUCCCUGACUGAGUCUGUAAUACCAACAUAUUUCAAGCAGACCACCAUAGAACACUAAGACCACCAGCAGAACACUAAGGUAACCUGCCUAAAUGACCACCUUUGUAGCCAUGAAGUGCUUUGAAAGGCUGGUCAUGGCUCGCAUCAACAUCAUUAUCCCAGAAACCCUAGGCCCACUCCAAUUUGCAUACCGCCCCAACAGAUCCACAGAUGAUGCAAUCUCUAUUGCACUCAACACUGCCCUUUCCCACCUAGACAAAAGGAACACCUAUGUGAGAAUGCUAUUCAUUGACUACAGCUCAGUGUUCAACACCAUAGUGCCCUCAAAGCUCAUCACUAAGCUAAGGACCCUGGGACUAAACACCUCCCUCUGCAACUAGAUCCUGGAUUUCCUGACGGGCCGCCCCCAGGUGGUAAGGGAAGGUAACGACACAUCCGCCACGCUGAUCCUCAACACGGGGGCCCCUCAGGGGUGUGUGCUCAGUCCCUCCUGUACUCCCUACCUGGCCAUGUGGUGCCAGGACAACAACCUCUCCCUCAACGUGAUCAAAACAAAGGAGAUGAUUGUGGACUACAGGAAAAGGAUGACCGAGCACGCCCCCAUUCUCAUCGCCAGGGCUGUAGUGGAGCAGGUUGAGAGCUUCAAGUUCCUUGGUGUCUACAUCACCAACAAACUAUCAUGGUCCAAACACACUAAGACAGUCGUGAAGAGGGCACGACAAAACCUAUUCCCCCUCAGGAGACUGAAAAGAUUCAGCAUGGGUCCUCAGAUUCUCAAAAGAUUUUACAGCUGCACCAUCGAGAGCAUCCUGACCAGUUGCAUCACCGCCUGGUAUGGCAACUGCUCGGCCUCCGACCGUAAGGCACUACAGAGGGUAGUGCGUAUGGCCCAGUACAUCCCUGAGGCCAAGUUUCCUGCCAUACAGGACCUCUUUGCCAGGCGGUGUCAGAGAAAGGCCCUAAAAAUUGUCAAAGACUCCAGCCACACUAGUCAUAGACUGUUCUCUCUGCUACUGCAUGACAAGCGGUACCAGAGCGCCAAGUCUAAGCCAACAGGCUUCUUAACAGCUUCUACCCCCAAGCCAUAAGACUCCUGAACAGCUAAUCAAAGAGCUACCCAGACCCCUCUUUUACGCUGCUGCUACUCUCCGUUUAUUAUCUAUGCAUAGUCACUUUAACUCUACCUACAUGUACAUAUUACCUCAAUUACCUCAACUAACCGGUGCCCCCGCACAUUGACUCUGUACCGGUAUCCCCUUUAUAUUGCCUCGCUAUUGAUAUUUUACUGCUGCUGUUUAAUUAUUUGUUACUUUAUUUGUUAUUUUCUAUUUUUUACUUAACACUUAUUUUUCUUAAAACUUCUUAAAGCAUUUUGGUUAGGGGCUUGUAAGAAAGCAUUUCACUGUAAGGUCUACUAUACCUGUUGUAUUCGGCGCAUGUGACAAAUAAAAUUUGAUUUGAUUUGAGUAUCAGGUGAGCUUUUAAUUUGUCAAACACAGUGAAAGCAUCGAACUUAGUAAACAAGGAAAUAUAGUUAUUUGCAAAUAACCAUUAAGGUUGCAAUAGACAUGCAGGCAGUUUGAUAAAUGGAUUCUUGGCCUUUGUAUUUUGGCUUUGUUAAGAAGAGAUAUUCAUCUUGCUGAGAGAAUCUAGACUCUAGAGUUUGUUGGCUUUCCUCAUUUCCUGAUGAUAAAGGGUUUAUUGUAGCAGAACUUGCCUGGACAUGUUUCAGGGCAGGUGAUUGGCUGUGUGGAUGCUGCUCUGGAGAGGUUUCAAAUGAACUAGAGAAAAGACAGAGGGACUGUGACCUCUAACCCAACAUGUCAGGGGUCAAAGCCCAUCGAUCUUCACAUGCUAUUCCUUCUCUACUGUAUGUUGUAGCCUGCAGAUAUUUGGUUACUUUGCAGUCAAGUUAAAAUGUUUUAUUAUUUGUGUGUUUGUAUUGUAUAGCUAGUAACAUGAGCAUUUCACUGCACCUGCUAUAAUGCCUACAAAUCUGUCUUUACGACCAGUAAGCUUUGAUUUUAUAUGUGUGUAUUUCUGUUACAAAGCCUUUGGAGGUAUGUUCCUAAAUCAUAUUUAGGCUAUUCUCAUUGUAAGAAUGUAGAAGGACCAGGGUAAAGUUUGUGGCGUUCUUUUUCACCAGCCCUCUCUCACACUAAAAGCUUGGUUGCAGAUCCUGCUCGUUGGCACUGGGCCUACUGUGGCAUUAGCUCAGUAUCUCAAUAAAUGCUUUUAAUCAAACCAACAUUUCCCUUAAAUUCCUCAAGUUUAGCCUGUACAUUACAAUCUCUCUCUCUCUCUCUCUCUCUCACACACACACACUUGCUCAGCAGAAAAGUGUUUCACAACUCACUUCUCUCCUCUCUCCCUUUCACUCCCUCUGUCUUUUUCCAGGAAUCUGGAAUUCUGGAAGUGGGGCCAAUGAGUUUAAGAGUGUGAUGGGUCGGACAGCUGCAUGCGUUUAGCUUGGAAGGAGCCAGGCAUGUACUCACAUGUAUGCAGCCAUUCCUCUCUCUGUCCCAAUACAGGGAAUGGAGAGAGGAUGAGUGCUUAGUAAUCACAUCACAUGCAGAUUAGUCAUGAAACAUAAACAGAAAAGAAAAUCAUUCCCACACCUGUAGAGAUCCUUCAUGCCUACUCGAUCGCUCCGUCUCUCUUUCACGCAUGCAAACACUUGCACUACUUUUCCUGAGAAAAAGGUGAUGCAAAUUAUAAUACUGUACCUAACCCUUUUCAAAUUUCUACCAUCUUAUUAAGCCAAUGUAAUCAAGCCAAUCUAUGCCCGUGGCAAAUAAAC